rnacentral:rRNA from 1 species
UGGCUCAGAACGACGCUGGCGGCGUGCCUACACAUGCAAGUCGAACGAUGAAGCUGGAGCUUGCUCCGGUGGAUUAGUGGCGAACGGGUGAGUAACACGUGAGCAAUCUGCCCUUCACUCUGGGAUAACUGCGGGAAACUGUAGCUAAUACCGGAUACGAUCCCUGGGGGCAUCCCUGGGGAUGGAAAGAAUUUCGGUGGAGGAUGACUUCGCGGCCUAUCAGCUUGUUGGUGAGGUAAUGGCUCACCAAGGCUACGACGGGUAUCCGGCCUGAGAGGGCGACCGGACACACUGGGACUGAGACACGGCCCAGACUCCUACGGGAGGCAGCAGUGGG